UAUUAAAAAGUUCAUCUAUUUCUACUAUUAAAAAUUGGCCUAGAUGAUAGAAAUAACCAGACAAUUACAUGUGACAUGCCAGAUGGACCAAUUUUUAAUUGUAGAAACUGAUGUAAUUUUUAACA
rnacentral:pre_miRNA from 1 species